rnacentral:rRNA from 1 species
UGACGACCGGCGCACGGGUGAGUAACACGUAUCCAACCUACCAUCCAUCACGGGGAUAGCCUUUCGAAAGAAAGAUUAAUACCCGAUAGUAUAGCGAUAAGGCAUCUUAUUGCUAUUAAAGAAUUUCGGUGUUUGAUGGGGAUGCGUUCCAUUAGAUUGUUGGUGAGGUAACGGCUCACCAAGUCUUCGAUGGAUAGGGGUUCUGAGAGGAAGGUCCCCCACAUUGGAACUGAGACACGGUCCAAACUCCUACGGGAGGCAGCAGUGAGGAAUAUUGGUCAAUGGACGAGAGUCUGAACCAGCCAAGUAGCGUGAAGGAUGAAGGCCCUAUGGGUCGUAAACUUCUUUUAUAGGGGAAUAAAGUGCGGAACGUGUUCCGCUUUGUAUGUACCCUACGAAUAAGGAUCGGCUAACUCCGUGCCAGCAGCCGCGGUAAUACGGAGGAUCCGAGCGUUAUCCGGAUUUAUUGGGUUUAAAGGGAGCGUAGGUGGACGUAUAAGUCAGUUGUGAAAGUUUGCGGCUCAACCGUAAAAUUGCAGUUGAUACUGUAUGUCUUGAGUGUACAAGAGGUGGGCGGAAUUCGUGGUGUAGCGGUGAAAUGCUUAGAUAUCACGAAGAACUCCGAUUG